rnacentral:rRNA from 1 species
UGGGGAAUAUUGCACAAUGGGGGAAACCCUGAUGCAGCAACGCCGCGUGAGUGAUGACGGCCUUCGGGUUGUAAAGCCCUGUCUUCAGGGACGAUAAUGACGGUACCUGAGGAGGAAGCCACGGCUAACUACGUGCCAGCAGCCGCGGUAAUACGUAGGUGGCAAGCGUUGUCCGGAUUUACUGGGUGUAAAGGGUGCUCAGGCGGAUUUGUAAGUCAGAGGUGAAAUCUUACAGCUUAACUGUGAAACUGCCUUUGAUACUGCAAGCCUAGAGUAUGGAAGAGAGUGAUGGAAUAUCUGGUGUAGCAGUGAAAUGCGUAGAUAUCAGAUAGAACACCAAUGGCGAAGGCAGUCACUUGGUCCAUUACUGACGCUAAAGCACGAAAGCGUGGGUAGCAAACA